rnacentral:rRNA from 1 species
AGAGUUUGAUCCUGGCUCAGGACGAACGCUGGCGGUGUGCUUCACACAUGCAAGUCGAACGAGGUAGCAAUACCUAGUGGCGGACGGGUGAGUAACGCGUGGGAAUCUGCCCUUGGGUAGGGGAUAGCAGGCCGAAAGGCCUAUUAAUACCGUAUAUGCCGUGAGGUAAAAGGAGUAAUCCGCCCGAGGAUGAGCCUGCGUCCGAUUAGCUAGUUGGUGGGGUAAAAGCCUACCAAGGCUACGAUCGGUAGCUGGUCUGAGAGGAUGAUCAGCCACAAUGGGACUGAGACACGGCCCAUACUCCUACGGGAGGCAGCAGUGGGGAAUUUUACGCAAUGGGGGAAACCCUGACGUAGCGACACCGCGUGAGCGAAGAAGCCUUUUGGGGUGUAAAGCUCUGUCAGCAGGAACGAUUAAAUGACGGUACCUGCAGAGGAAGCAUCGGCUAACUACGUGCCAGCAGCCGCGGUAAGACGUAGGAUGCGAGCGUUGUCCGGAUUCAUUGGGCGUAAAGAGUUCGUAGGCGGUUUGUUAAGUCUGAUGUUAAAGAUCAGGGCCCAACCCUGGGAGUGCAUUGGAUACUGGCAGACUUGAGUACAGUAGAGGCGAGUGGAAUUCCCAGUGUAGCGGUGAAAUGCGUAGA